UGAGUAACACGUGGGCAACCUACCUUAUAGUUUGGGAUAACUCCGGGAAACCGGGGCUAAUACCGAAUAAUCUAUUUCACUUCAUGGUGGAAUACUGAAAGACGGUUUCGGCUGUCGCUAUAAGAUGGGCCCGCGGCGCAUUAGCUAGUUGGUGAGGUAACGGCUCACCAAGGCGACGAUGCGUAGCCGACCUGAGAGGGUGAUCGGCCACACUGGGACUGAGACACGGCCCAGACUCCUACGGGAGGCAGCAGUAGGGAAUCUUCCACAAUGGGCGAAAGCCUGAUGGAGCAACGCCGCGUGAGUGAAGAAGGUUUUCGGAUCGUAAAACUCUGUUGUAAGGGAAGAACAAGUACAGUAGUAACUGGCUGUACCUUGACGGUACCUUAUUAGAAAGCCACGGCUAACUACGUGCCAGCAGCCGCGGUAAUACGUAGGUGGCAAGCGUUGUCCGGAAUUAUUGGGCGUAAAGCGCGCGCAGGCGGUCCUUUAAGUCUGAUGUGAAAGCCCACGGCUCAACCGUGGAGGGUCAUUGGAAACUGGGGGACU
rnacentral:rRNA from 1 species